GACGAACGCUGGCGGCGUGCUUAACACAUGCAAGUCGAACGGAAAGGCCCUGCUUUUGUUGGGUGCUCGAGUGGCGAACGGGUGAGUAACACGUGAGUAACCUGCCCUUGACUUUGGGAUAACUUCAGGAAACUGGGGCUAAUACCGGAUAGAAGCUCCUGCUGCAUGUUGGGGGUUGGAAAGUUUCGGCGGUUGUGGAUGGACUCGCGGCUUAUCAGCUUGUUGGUGUGGUAGUGGCUUACCAAGGCUUUGACGGGUAGCCGGCCUGAGAGGGUGACCGGCCACAUUGGGACUGAGAUACGGCCCAGACUCCUACGGGAGGCAGCAGUGGGGAAUAUUGCACAAUGGGCGGAAGCCUGAUGCAGCAACGCCGCGUGCGGGAUGAUGGCCUUCGGGUUGUAAACCGAUUUCGCCUGUGACGAAGCGUGAGUGACGGUAAUGGGUAAAGAAGCAACGGCUAACUACGUG
rnacentral:rRNA from 1 species